GCGCGAUGUGCUACCCCCCACACGACGAAGGCAUUGAUCACACGGCGCGCUCUGGACUGGAUCCUCACCGAACUCAAAGGUCUAUGUAACAAAGGUAGACGAGCGUCGUUUGACGGUGAACUGUGCUAGCGGGCAGCUUCGUUCUUGCCUGUGAAGGCUUAUCCGGGUUGAGAGAAUUUAAGGCAUCAUCAGAAAAAAGAGAUAUUUGACAGAAAAGACGUCCCCGUGUGGUUGUCGAACUCGUACAUUAUUUCGCGUACAACAGCAAAGAGCCAAACUAUUACACCAUAGACACCGGCGUACCAUGCUACUCUCCACCGUUGGUAUGGUAGGCCGUGAAGUGUUCUAUCAUUUUAAAGAGCUUGUUAUUCUUAUUUAGGCCUACAUCUACAUCUUUAAGAUACACGAAAUACCGCAGCUCAAGCCCAAGCGCAUGGCUCAAGAACGGACUCAAUAGAGAGUUUCUAAGCUGUUCACGGCCAAUUUGGAUCAGACAAUGAUCUAGACAGAGGCUGGCGUUGGUCCACUGCUCUGCCUGCUUUCAAACGUCUGGAUGACUAUAAUCGUUGGCCUCGUGUGUGUGUGUGUGUGUGUGCGUGCGUGUGUUUGUACCUUCGGGCGGCUCUGGAAGAUGCUGUUAUUUCCGAGUGGACGUGACUGCUGAGGAGAGACGUGCCUAGCCGGAUUUGUCGGCUGCCACGAGACCAACACCUCGCCACACCAAAUUGCCUGCCCGGUCUCCGUGAUGUUAAAAUGGUCUUCAGGCGACAGAGCUGAGAGCUGAUCGCCGCUGUGCGAAGCCAACCAACCCCACCCCUACCACACCAGCUCCGCGAGUUGGCUUUUCUCCUAAGCUAUUAUCUCCAGACUCCAAGGACGCUCUGAUAUACAUGAAUCGAACACCCUUAAGGGCAGAGUUUUAGAAUCAGUAUCGAGGAUGUCGAAAUAAUUAUUAUUACCAAUGUGUAGGCGUCUGGAGUCCAGCAAAAUAAACGGAUUAAAAGUCAUUAGACUCAUUAGAACAGGACGAAACUGGAAGAAAACCCCAGGUUUCUGUCAUUAGCCUGUUUUGAUUCUCACCGCAUUGUCUUGAGCCUCGUUCAAGAAAUAAAAACGACAGUCUACUAUAACUGUCAAGGCAUUAGCGUGUACUCUUUGAGCAAUCAAGUGUCAUUUUCUUCAAGCGUAUUACAUUACGUGUAACCACGGGAUAUUCUUCAUUGAGUUUUUCUUUGAGAACUGAACGUUUCUGUGUUUCCAAUGUCUUCACCUCAAAGACAUCCGGUAUCAACUUACAAUGAAAGAACCAUGAGUUAUAAAGCAUAGCUGUAGUAUAGACUAUUGCUUUGAGACCACACUAAUGAAUUACAAGCAGACGUCACAGUUUGGUGCACACUGAGACGUAACCUAUUUUUUAGCAUUUAAAGUGUUCAUUUAUUUUGUUAAGUAGAACUUUUUUUUUCACUUGUAGUUUAGGAAUGGAUUCAUAACAUUUGCUCUUUUUUUCUUUUGUGUUUUUUCCCUUAUAAACGCAGACCAAGCUGCUACUGGUAGUCUCUUUAUGGUAAGCUAAUUAUGCAAUCAAGGGUUCGAAACAUUUUCAAAGGCACUGGUUUCUUAUACGCCUUCUUAUUUGCUUUGCUUUAAUUAAAGGAUACUUCAAAUUCCAAUCGUCCUGCAAGGAAAAGCUGUUGAAAUAAA
rnacentral:lncRNA from 1 species